rnacentral:rRNA from 1 species
UACGGAGGAUCCGAGCGUUAUCCGGAUUUAUUGGGUUUAAAGGGUGCGUAGGCGGCCUAUUAAGUCAGGGGUGAAAUACGGUGGCUCAACCAUCGCAGUGCCUUUGAUACUGAUGGGCUUGAAUCCAUUUGAAGUGGGCGGAAUAAGACAAGUAGCGGUGAAAUGCAUAGAUAUGUCUUAGAACUCCGAUUGCGAAGGCAGCUCACUAAGCUGGUAUUGACGCUGAUGCGCGAAAGCGUGGGGAUCGAACAGG